rnacentral:lncRNA from 1 species
UUUGGUCAAACAACAAUGCAUUCAUUCAUUCAAACAUAAAAGUGUUAUCCUCCAACAGAGGAGUUUACAGAAAGCAGAGUGAGAGCAGACUUUGCCACCAAGUCAGCCUCGCCAUUAAAGGUCCUAGAGAUAAAGUGAAAAGAAAUCCGAUCAAAGUACGACAAAGCAUGAUAGAUAUCAAACAUGAUACCGAACAGUUCAGGUUGAGUGGCUUCCUUCUUCGCUAUUAUUCAAACAGCACCCCCAAAUAUUCAAAGUUUUAAUCCGUGUUUCUAACAAUGUAACAUACAACAAAAAAAUUGAGUAAGGACUCAAGGUAUAUAUGAUUAGUAGAAGAAAAUAUAAGUAGCCGAAAAUAUAAUCGUUAGUCUUACUUUCAAACGCCAGUCUAUAUAUUUGAGAUUGAUGUAAUUUUCAUGUAAAAUACAAUAUUGUGUCACUUUGCAUGUUACUAUCAGAUCCAAAUGAUUAAUUGAUAAUUACAUAGUGAAAAAUACGAGGCGAACGAGUAUGAAAAUAUACGCACCGGUGAUAUAUUUGGUGACGAUUGUCUCAAAUCCAAAGCGGCAAGUGUCGCAGUAAACACAUCCUUCUAUAUGAAAUGGUGUUCCAGCCGCCAUGGCCGCAAGUGGCAGUAGCAAAACACACAUCACGGCGAGCAGAGGUGUAUAUGAUCUAGCCAUCUACAUAAACAACUGAAGAAUGAUACUAUAAUUUUUGGAGUUUGUUUUUUUUUUUGAGAGUUUGUUGCUUGUGAAGGGGUUUUGUGAAUUAAUUAUUUGCGAGCUACCUAGUAUAUAUAAGAAGGAAGCUGAAAGGCACAUGUAUCAAAGAUGUAAGUGUAUCGCAUCGUGUGCGAAUUAAAAAAAAAGCUUGCUUAGUGUCGGCUAGAUCCAAUUGCGGCUCCUCCUCCGCCUUCUACGGCAAAUGUGGAUAGAGUUUGUGUUGCCUCCUCCACAUGUCUAACUCGUACGGUUCUUGUUAAUUCUAGUCUACGUUUUAAGCUUUUUUUUUUAACAACCAAUGCUUAUAUUAAAAUUAAACGCCCAAUGGGCUAAGUCGAUUACAACCGAAGAGAUAUUCGACGGUAAAAUGAUAAGCAAACAUAACUAAAACAUAAAAAAGAUAGAUGUGGCUAAGGAAAAAAGAACCCCGUAGAAAAUCUUCGCUUGUUGUCCUAAAGCCCGCGUUUGAAAGAACAUACAAAAGUCGACAUUGACGUUGAAGAACCCAACCAAUGGGUUUUGAGAACAAUUGAAAACCGUCUCUGAAAAUGCAUGGAUCUCCCGACGUUGCAGUGACACUGAAGUGCAGAGAAGUUGCCGGAGUAGGACUACACACAUAAUCGUCGACGGUACAACCGCUAAAGAAAAACAGUUAACAAAGUCAGGAGAAGGCAUUGACAAUGAUUGCUUGGCCGGCAAGAGAUGCAAAAUCCAAACAUGGUGAACAUCCACAAGAUCGAGGCCGCCUUAGUAACUACAUAGUUACAGGUGAACAUUGACAACCUCUAUGUUUCGAGCUACGGUUUAUUUUUUUGGACAAGUAUAGAUUGUUAUUUUCAGGAUUAUUUUCACUAGUUAUUAGUUUAUCAUUUCUUCAGUCUACGUGAAAAGAACAAAACAUGGUGAACAUCUACAAGAUCGAGGCCGCCUUAGUAACUACAUAGACAGACUUGUCAGGGACCGCAUUGACUCACUCCGAGGCUCUGCAAAUGGCAGCUUUGACACACACUUGCAGGCUUGGUUUACAAGCUGAUGAGAGAAGAUGAGAGCUUUAGAAUCAGUUUUUUAAAUAGUUUCUAUAAACACAACUCAAACAAAGUUACAUAGGUUGUAAAAAAAAAAUUUGAUCAGAAUAAAUUUAACAUUCAUUCAAAAAUAACAAAAAAAAUCGUUUUCACAGAGUUUUCUAGACUGAAUCAAAGGCGUUGAUUUUUAUUUUUAAGUAGAAGACCAAGAAAACAAUAUGUUUUUAUUAGAUAAAAAUUAUUAAAUUUCCUCUUCAAAUUGCGUAAUGGCUUUUCCAUACCAUGUUGAUCCAUGAUUUUGUAUCGUAGGUUGGUUAUGUACAGUAUUAUUUAAUUUAAAUAAAAAUUAUAAAUAGUGAUGACUAAUUAAUUUUGUCUUGAUUAAAUUCAGUUUUGACGUUAACCGUGGCUUAUAAUAACAGGAAAAACGUUGGUACUUGGAAGGUGAAAGUGACCGCGGGAUUAGUAAAAGUCUUGUCCAUUUGAUGGUCGGUUACAUUAGCAGCAAUUGAUCUUAUGAACAAGACUUAUUGGGCCCAGAGGAACCGAUGACAGCCACUACACGUCUUAAAUACAAACAAAAUAGUCCACAAAAGAGAAAGCGCCAGAGAGUCCCCAAGUCUGGAAAGCCGAUAAGUCAACACGGAACUCUCCUUCCUCCAAGUCAGGCAAAGAAGCCGUAUGAGAAACAUUCUUUGAACAUGUGAUUAAGGCCCUGUUCGUUACGGAAUCGCUGCGGCAGCGACCAGAAAAUUAACACUAAUGAAGAGCGAAGUAGCUAUGGUGGAACAGAAAUAGUCGCUGGAAGUGAUUUCCGGAUAACUCCGUGACGUCUUUUAUGGACGCCAAUUUUUUCAGCGACGUCUCUUGUUUGCCGCUGCGACACUAAAUAGCUCCUUCACCCACGUUUCACUCCAUUAAUUAAUAGAAUCACUGUUAUAUUUUCUGUCGCUGCUGCUGCCGCAGCGGUUCUGAAACGAACAGGGCCUAAGGAGGGAGGAGUACGAAGAUGAGGUGGCGAUGAGGAUGCAUGCGUGGGACAUGGAAGGGAUGCCUCUAGGGAAGGAGUCCCCAAGUCUCCUUUGCAAAGUAAGCCGUAUUCUUCUUCGCCGUGAAGCAAACACAGUUUUUUUAUUGUUGGGUGCAAAUGUUAGAAGCAAACAAAGUUGUUUUGGGUCAAAGUGCAAACACAGAUUUUAACCGAACAGAGGGAUACACAAGCAAGCUCGAAGUAAUUCUCUGUCGACAAAGCAAGGUCCAAAUUUGAAAGUGUCUUGCAUAGAUUUUUUUUUUUUUUAGUUUUUUUGGUCAAACAACAAUGCAUUCAUUCAUUCAAACAUAAAAGUGUUAUCCUCCAACAGAGGAGUUUACAGAAAGCAGAGUGAGAGCAGACUUUGCCACCAAGUCAGCCUCGCCAUUAAAGGUCCUAGAGAUAAAGUGAAAAGAAAUCCGAUCAAAGUACGACAAAGCAUGAUAGAUAUCAAACAUGAUACCGAACAGUUCAGGUUGAGUGGCUUCCUUCUUCGGUAGAGAGACGAGGGAGAGCGAAUCGGUUAGAACGGCCAGGGAUCGGACGUUUGAAUAGACGGAUGUAACAACCGCGAGGCGAACAGCUAUGGCCUCUGCCAUA